AGGAUAAACGCUGGCGGCGUGCCUAAUGCAUGCAAGUCGCACGGAGCAUCACUUCGGUGGUGUUGAGUGGCGAACGGGUGAGGAACGCGUGGACAACCUACCCCGGCGUGGGGGAUACCCGCCAGAAAUGGCGGCUAAUACCGCGUACGGUCCUAUCGCGCAGGGCGGUGGGAAGAAAGCAGUGAUGCGCGCUGGGAGGGGUCUGCGGCCGAUUAGCUAGUUGGCGGGGUAGUGGCCCACCAAGGCGAUGAUCGGUAGCUGGUCUGAGAGGAUGAUCAGCCACACGGGGGACUGAGACACGGCCCCGACUCCUACGGGAGGCAGCAGCAAGGAAUUUCCGCAAUGGGGCAACCCUGACGGAGCAACGCCGCGUGACGGAUGACGCCUCUUGGGGUGUAAACGUCUUUUGCCGGGAAGAGAACGGACGGUACCCGGCGAAUCAGGACCGGCUAACUACGUGCCAGCAGCCGC
rnacentral:rRNA from 1 species